UCAUGUCCGUGUUACAAUAUUGUUCUCGACGCCGAGCAAAAUCAGCACUGCUGGUCUGUUGCCAAAUAUUUCCAUUUUUCUUCCGCGUAUCUCUCUAUAUAGGAUCACUAGUUUUUGCUUAAUU